rnacentral:tRNA from 1 species
GUCCCCGUAGCUCAACUGGACAGAGCGUCGGCCUCCGGAGCCGAAGGUUGCAGGUUCGAGUCCUGCCGGGGAUAC